GACGAACGCUGGCGGCGUGCUUAACACAUGCAAGUCGAGCGGAGCGGCGAACGGGUGAGUAACGCGGGAGUAACUGCCCCCCUCCCUGGGAUAACAGUUGGAAACGGCUGCUCAUACCGGAUAGUGGGGGAUGACGCGCGUCCUAUCAUCUUGUUGGUGGGGUAGUGGCCUACCAAGGCGACGACGGGUAGCCAGACUGAGAGGGCGACCGGCCACAUUGGGCUGAGAUACGGCCCAAAGGCCUACGUGAGGCAGCAGUGGGGAUUAGUGCACAAUGGGGGAAACGCUGAUGCAGCAACGCCGCGUGCGGGAGGUCUGCCUUCGGGGUGUAAACCGCUUUCAGCCAUGACGCGGUAGUGGCAGAAGAAGCACCGGCUAACUACGUGCCAGCAGCCGCGGUAAUUC
rnacentral:rRNA from 1 species